CAGUCCUACGGGGGGCAGCAGUAGGGAAUCUUCCACAAUGGGCGAAAGCCUGAUGGAGCAACGCCGCGUGGGUGAAGAAGGUCUUCGGAUCGUAAAACCCUGUUGUUAGAGAAGAAAGUGCGUGAGAGUAACUGUUCACGUUUCGACGGUAUCUAACCAGAAAGCCACGGCUAACUACGUGCCAGCAGCCGCGGUAAUACGUAGGUGGCAAGCGUUGUCCGGAUUUACUGGGUGUAAAGGGCGUGCAGCCGGGCUGACAAGUCAGAUGUGAAAUCCCGCGGCUCACCCGCG
rnacentral:rRNA from 1 species